rnacentral:rRNA from 1 species
GACGAACGCUGGCGGCGUGCUUAACACAUGCAAGUCGAACGGAAAGGCCCUGCUUUUGUGGGGUGCUCGAGUGGCGAACGGGUGAGUAACACGUGAGUAACCUGCCCUUGACUUUGGGAUAACUUCAGGAAACUGGGGCUAAUACCGGAUAGGAGCUCCUGCUGCAUGGUGGGGGUUGGAAAGUUUCGGCGGUUGGGGAUGGACUCGCGGCUUAUCAGCUUGUUGGUGGGGUAGUGGCUUACCAAGGCUUUGACGGGUAGCCGGCCUGUGAGGGAGACCGGCGACAUUGGGACUGAGAUACGGCGCAGACUCCUACGGGAGGCAGCAGUGGGGAAUAUUGCACAAUGGGCGGAAGCCUGAUGAAGCCACGCCGAGUGCGGGAUGACGGCCUUCGGGUUGUAAACCGCUUUCGCCUGUGACGAAGCGUGAGUGACGGUAAUGGGUAAAGAAGCACCGGCUAACUACGUG